UGGGUUCAAGCGAUUCUCUGCCUCAGCCUCCUGAGUAGCUGGGAUUACAGGUGCCCACCACCAUGCCCAGCUAAUUUUUGUAUUUUUAGUAGAGAUGGGGUUUCACCAUCUUGGCCAGGCUAGUCUUGAACUCCUGACCUCAUGAUCCACCUGCCUCAGCCUCCCAAAGUGCUGGGAUUACAGGUGUGAGCCACCACGCCCGGCCAGACCCGCACUUCUUUGGUUUCAUUUGGCUGGUUUCCGUUUGCUCUCCACAUCCCCCUCCGUCUUCUCCACCCUGCUUGGAGCUGGUCCUAUGGACACCUCAGUGGGCUCUUGGUCCUCCAGCUGCAGCUGAGUUUGGCAGUGGAGCUCUCCAGGAGGAGAUGGCAGCAGAGGUGGAGGGUUUGUCUCCUUCUCCCUCCCUCAAGGCUCACCCCAGACUGGCUUAUCCCUCAACCAGUGGUCACAGCCCCUAUCAGUUGGGCCUGUCCACACAGCUCUGUCUUUGUUUUUUGUUUUUGAGACAGAGUUUCGCUCUUGUUGCCCAGGCUGGAGUGCAGUGGCGUGGUCUCAGCUCACUGCAACCUCCCAGUUCAAGCGAUUCUCCUGCCUCAGCCUCCCAAGUAGCUGGGAUUACAGAUGCCUGCCACCAUGCCUGAUUUUUUGUAUUUUUAGUAGAGACAGGGUUUCACCAUGUUGACCAGGCUGGUCUGGAACUCCUAACCUCAGGUCAUCCACCCGCCUCGGCCUCCCAAAGUGCUGGGAUUACAGGCAUGAGCCACCGCACCCAACCUGUCUUUAUGUUUUAUAACAGCUCCCUUCCUGACCCUUCAGGCCCAGGGGUGGCGACAGUGUCACUAGCCUGGAGAACUGUUUCCAGCACCUGCCGGUAGCCUUGCAGAGCACUAAAACUUAACUUCUCUCAAGCUCUCCUCAGCUUUCCCAGUUUGCCUGUGUCAUCUGUUUCCCAGCAGACACUGA
rnacentral:lncRNA from 10 species